UUACGGCCACAUCACGUUGCAACACCAGUACCCGUAAUAUUAUCGAAGUUAAGCCAACCUCAGUCUGGUCAGUACCUAGAUGGGUGACUGCUUGGGAAUACUAGGUAAUGUA